UAAGGUUCUUUCAUAGUGAUUGCAAUGUUCUCCAAUUUUGAUUCACUGGGAAGACUGAGUUACUUGUCUAGAUUCAACCUUUCGAAAUAGAGAAUCGGGGGUAGAAUUUUGGAACAUAUGAAUUGCAGACAGUAUGCUGAAUAGUCCACAUGUGCUGUCCAAAGGUGGACUUCAGUGUACUUCCUUUGCGCCAUCAUGGUCUAGAGAUCCACAUCAACAUGGAGAGCUUUCCAUGACUGAUAUACUCUGUCUCUGCUCAGUUCUCUCCUAAAGCCACAUGCCAUUGUGAUUUUCUUUACUUGCCUGUUUUAUU
rnacentral:lncRNA from 1 species